ensembl:lncRNA
CCCCCCCCCCCCCGCCCCACAACAGCUGUGGGGCAGCGCAGGUGGAGGAGCCCCAAAUAGCAGCAAAGAAUCCGUGGGGCGGAAAUGGGGGGGGGGGGGGAUGGAAGGGGACACCUAUGGGGCAUUCCAGCCCCACACAUCGGCUCCAGCCCCAUAGAUCGGCCCCAUAGCGGGUCCCGGCCCCAUAGAUUGGCCCCACAGUGGAUCCCAGCCCCAUAGAUUGGCCCCAUAGUGGCUCCUGGCCCCAUAGACUGGCCCCAUAGAUGGGUCCCAUAGACUGUCCUGGCCCCAUAGAUUGGCUCCAGCCCCAUAGAUCAGCCCCAUAGACAUUUUCAGCCCCAUAGAUCAGCCCCAUAGCGGGUCCUGGCCCCAUAGAUUGGCUCCAGCCCCAUAGAUUGGCCCCAUUGCGGGUCCUGGCCCCAUAGAUUGGCUCCUGCCCCAUAGGUUGGCUCCAGCCCCAUAGAUCAGGCUACAGGGCAAAGCUAUGGGGCAGAGCUAUGGGGCACUAUGGGGCAGAUAUGGCGCUACGCGGCGCUAUGGGGCAGCUAUGGGGCAGAAAUGUACGGCAAUGGGAACAGAUGGAGGAUGAAUGGGGGCUAUGGGGGGGUCUAUGGGGUUAUGGGGUGGCUAUAGGGCAGCUAUGGGGCAGGGCUGUGGGGCGCUAUGGGGCAGAGAUGUGUGGCAGUGGGGAGGGAUGGAGGAUGAAUGGGGUCUAUGGGGGGUCGAUGGGGUUAUGGGGCACUAUGAGGCACUAUGGGGCCGCUAUAGGGCAUCUAUGGGGCAGAUCUAUGGGGCGCUAUGGGGCAGCUAUGGGAAAGAGGGAAGGCAAUGGGAACAGAUGGAGGAUGAAUGGGGUUAUGGGGGGGCUAUGGGGCGGCUAUGGGAUUAUGGGGCACUAUAGGGUCUCUAUAGGGCAUCUAUGGGGCAGAGUUAUGGGGCUCUAUGGGGCUCUAUGGGGCAGAGAUGGUGUUAUGGGGUGCAGAGAUGGAAGGCAAUGGGAAUGGAUGGAGGAUGAAUGGGGUCUAUAGGGGGCUUACGGGGCGCUAUGGGGUGGCUAUGGGGCAUCUAUGGGGCAGAGCUAUGGGGCGCUAUGGGGCUCUAUGGGGCUUUAUGGGGCAGAUAUGGGGCUCUAUGGGGCAGAGACGUGAGCAGAUGUGAGGCAGUGGGAAUGGAUGGAGGAUGAAUGGGGGCUAUGGGGUUAUGGGCCGCUAUGGGGCGCUAUAGGGCCGCUAUAGGGCAUCUAUGGGGCAGAGCUAUGGGGCACUAUGGGGCUCUAUAGGUUGGCUAUGGGGCAGCUAUGGGGCAGGGAUGUAAGGCAAUGGGAAUGGAUGAAGGAUGAAUGGGGGCUAUGGGGCGCUAUAGGGCGGCUAUGGGGCAUCUAUGGGGCAGAGCUAUGGGGCGCUAUGGGGCUCUAUGGGGCAGAUAUGGGGCUCUAUGGGGCAGAGACGUGGGCAGAUAUGAGGCAAUGGGAAUGGAUGGAGGAUGAAUGGGGUCUUUGGGGUUAUGGGGCGCUAUGGGGCGCUAUAGGGCGGCUAUGGGGCACAGCUAUGGGGCGGAUCUAUGGGGCAGAGCUAUGGGGCUCUAUGGGGCUCUAUGGGGCAGGGAUGUAAGGCAAUGGGAAUGGAUGGAGGAUGAAUGGGGGCUAUGGGCUUAUGGGGCGCUAUGGGGCGCUAUAGGGCGGCUAUGGGGCAGAGCUAUGGGGCGGAUCUAUGGGGCGCUAUGGGGCAGAUCUAUGGGGCUCUCUGGGGCUCUAUGGGGCAGGGAUGGAAGGCAAUGGGAAUGGAUGGAGGAUGAAUGGGGGCUAUGGGGUUAUGGGGCGCUAUGGGGCGCUAUGGGGUGGCUAUGGGGCACCUAUGGGGCAGAUCUAUGGGGCUCUAUGGGGCUCUGUAGGGCUCUAUGGGGCAGAGAUGGAAGGCAAGGGGAAUGGAUGGAGGAUGAAUGGGGGCUAUGGGCUUAUGGGGCGCUAUGGGGCGGCUACGGGGCAUCUAUGGGGCAGAGCUAUGGGGCGCUAUGGGGCUCUAUGGGGCAGAUAUGGAGCUCUAUGGGGCAGAGAUGGAGGGCAAUGGGAAUGGAUGGAGGAUGAAUGGGGUCUAUGGGGUAAUGGGGCGCUAUGGGGCGCUAUGGGGCGGCUAUGGGGCAUCUAUGGGGCGGAUCUAUGGGGCCGCCCCGUCCUCACCUCCGUGGCUGCGCCUUUGGCCGCUGCGGUGGCUGCAAAACGGCGUCACGGUGGGGG